rnacentral:rRNA from 1 species
UACAGAGGGUGCAAGCGUUAAUCGGAAUUACUGGGCGUAAAGCGUGCGUAGACGGUUAUGUAAGUCAGAUGUGAAAUCCCCGGGCUCAACCUGGGAACUGCAUUUGUGACUGCAUAGCUGGAGUGCGGCAGAGGGGGAUGGAAUUCCGCGUGUAGCAGUGAAAUGCGUAGAUAUGCGGAGGAACACCGAUGGCGAAGGCAAUCCCCUGGGCCUGCACUGACGCUCAUGCACGAAAGCGUGGGGAGCAAACAGG